rnacentral:rRNA from 1 species
AUUGAACGCUGGCGGCAGGCCUAACACAUGCAAGUCGAACGAGUGGCGGACGGGUGAGUAAUGUCUGGGAAACUACCUGCUGGAGGGGGAUAACUACUGGAAACGGUCGCUAAUACCGCAUACCAUCAGAUGUGCCCAGAUGGGAUUAGCUUGUUGGUGGGGUAAAGGCCCACCCAGGCGCCGAUCCCUAGCUGGUCUGAGAGGAUGACCAGCAACAAUGGAACUGAGACAGGGUCCCGACUCCUACGGGAGGCAGCAGUGGUGAAUAUGGCACAAUGGGCGCAAGCCUGAUGCAGCCAUGCCGCGUGUAUGAAGAAGGCCUUCGGGUUGUAAAGUACUUUCAGCGGGGAGGCGUUACCCGCAGAAGAAGCACCGGCUAACUCCGUGCCAGCAGCCGCGGUAAUUC